CGGGCCACAUGGCCUUUGCAGCGGCGGCGCCGGCGUCUCUUGAUGUACUCGCGCCGCGCGGGUCGACGAGCGGCGCGAGCCACGAUGACGUGUUGCCGCUCGAUCGCGACGCAGCGUCGAUCCAUCCGAGAAAGGGUCCAUAGACCGCCGCGAUCUGCCCGAUGGGCGCCGCCGGCUCGUCGACACGGCUGAGAAACGCGCCCUGGGAGAGGAACCGUAUGAGCGAGCGCGCCCGCGCGUCCGCCAGAGGUCGACCGCGUGCCUCGUCGUCGCUUGCCUGCUGCAAAAGGCCCAACAGCCUGCUCGGUGAGCCGAGGCCCUCGGCAGAGGCCCACGCGCGGACGUUCGACCACGCCUGCGGCAUGAUCGCACUUGCCACUUGCACGGCCGCCAUUUGUUCUCCUCUCCUCUCUUUUUUUUGCUCUGUCACUUUGCGUUGUUCACCCUAUGCGGUCCGACGGACAAUCGUCUUGGCCUUUUUGUUGGCGGCGCGCUUAGGCGGGGAAAAAAUACCGAUCUAGCGCCUUUUUCUUUUCCCGAUUAAAAAACACACAGUCAGCAAAAGAAGAGAGAAGGAGACAAAAACGUGCCAGCUUGCGCCUAUGGCUUUUUUGUCGAUUCCUUUUUCCGUUGUCCUGUGGCGGCGCCUGUUAG
rnacentral:lncRNA from 1 species